UACGCAGGGUGCAAGCGUUGUCCGGAAUUAUUGGGCGUAAAGAGCUCGUAGGCGGCUUGUCGCGUCGGCUGUGAAAACCGAGGGCUCAACCCUGGGCCUGCAGCCGAUACGGGCAAGCUAGAAUUCGGUAGGGGAGACUGGAAUUCCUGGUGUAGCGGUGAAAUGCGCAGAUAUCAGGAGGAACACCGGUGGCGAAGGCGGGUCUCUGGGCCGAUAUUGACGCUGAGGAGCGAAAGCGUGGGGAGCGAACAGG
rnacentral:rRNA from 1 species